CAUCCGAGGGGGCGUGGUUUAGCAAUAAGGGGGCGGGGCAGGGAUAAAAUAUAGUGUAAAUGUGUGUCAGUUCCAGGCUGGUGUAGAUUCCUGAGGCUGCCGCCCUGGAUUUAUCAAGAAUAUGAAAUGCUGCUCCUUUAUAUUUAACCAUUGUUUCUCUGUUAUCUGUAAUAGAUUUCUAUUUUGCGUGUGUGGGAGCGUUCAGCGCUAUAUUGUGGGUGGGCUUUGCCCUGUAUAAAAUUUUCGGAAGGAAGAGCGGCCAUGCUUGGCUUGGGGACCUGGAGGCUGCCUCCGGCGAUGAGCCAUUGGCCUAUUACGAGGAGUACGACUUCUCAUCUACUGUCCUGGUCAUGGAGGAAGAGUGAGAGGAGGACAUCAUAAAAAGGAGUAAUC